CCUACGGGCCGCACCAGUAGGGAAUCUUCGGCAAUGGACGAAAGUCUGACCGAGCAACGCCGCGUGAGUGGAGAAGGUUUUCGGAUCGUAGAACUCUGUCGUUAGAGAAGAACAAGGACGUUAGUAACUGAACGUCCCCUGACGGUAUCUAACCAGAAAGCCACGGCUAACUACGUGCCAGCAGCCGCGGUAAUACGUAGGUGGCAAGCGUUGUCCGGAUUUAUUGGGCGUAAAGCGAGCGCAGGCGGUUUCUUAAGUCUGAUGUGAAAGCCCCCGGCUCAACCGGGGAGGGUCAUUGGAAACUGGGAGACUUGAGUACAGAAGAGGAGAGUGGAAUUCCAUGUGUAGCGGUGAAAUGCGUAGAUAUAUGGAGGAACACCAGUGGCGAAGGCGGCUCUCUGGUCUGUAACUGACGCUGAGGCUCGAAAGCGUGGGGAGCAAACAGGAUUAGAUACCCCGGUAGUC
rnacentral:rRNA from 1 species